UACGAAGGGGGCUAGCGUUGUUCGGAUUCAUUGGGCGUAAAGGGUGCGUAGGUGGCGGGGCAAGUCUGGUGUGAAAUCCCGGGGCUCAACCCUGGAACUGCACUGGAUACUGCUUUGCUAGAGUACUGGAGAGGGAACUGGAAUUUACGGUGUAGCAGUGAAAUGCGUAGAUAUCGUAAGGAAGACCAGUGGCGAAGGCGAGUUCCUGGACAGUUACUGACACUGAGGCACGAAGGCCAGGGGAGCAAACGGG
rnacentral:rRNA from 1 species